UCAUUGCUCAGUGCCGCCGCGACUCUGUCGUCGUCGAUUCUCUUUGCGCGCUAACGCCCCGAGAGUCGCUAAGAUCGCGAGAGAGUGAGACGGACCUCUCUCUCCCUCUCUGACGAGAGAGGGAUACGCGCGGAAAACCGCACGCAAGUUAGUCCUUAAAUAUAAAGAGACAAAAGAGGGAAAGAUAAAGAGAGCGUCUCAAGUUUGCCGCGUGUGCCAAGAGAAGAGGGAUCUAAGAAACAAUAAUUUGCCGAUCUAGAAGAAACGAAUUGAAGCUCCCAGCACUGUAAAUGUGGAUAAAUUCAUCAGGAAGAAAUUGAAACACUGGAAGAAAACCGCGCCGCGAUUGA